rnacentral:rRNA from 1 species
UUUUGGACAAUGGGCGCAAGCCUGAUCCAGCCAUUCCGCGUGAGUGAAGAAGGCCUUCGGGUUGUAAAGCUCUUUCGCAAGCGAAGAAAACUUACUUUCUAAUAAAGAGUGGGGUUGACGGUACCUUGAUAAGAAGCACCGGCUAACUACGUGCCAGCAGCCGCGGUAAUACGUAGGGUGCGAGCGUUAAUCGGAAUUACUGGGCGUAAAGCGUGCGCAGGCGGCUUUGUAAGUCAGAUGUGAAAUCCCCGAGCUCAACUUGGGAACUGCGUUUGAAACUACAAGGCUAGAAUAUGUCAGAGGGGGGUAGAAUUCCACGUGUAGCAGUGAAAUGCGUAGAGAUGGGAGGAAUACCAAGGCGAAGGCAGCCCCCUGGGAUAAUAUUGACGCUCAUGCACGAAA